GGAAAUAACUUUCUGAAGUGGACGUGUUACGCAAACUUUAAAAAACCAAGCGACGCCAAGUCAAUUCUAUUGUAUUCUAAAAGCAGUUUGUAAAAACAGGCUAAGACCUAAAUUAUUACCGGAUUUGAUAAAAAUUGUCAUUCCAUUAAAGUGCACCUACCAUUGUAGAAAUAAGUACAAGUUAGGACCAGGACCCCUACUCAACGUGGGGUGUUUGGUCGGGCCGGACCGUCAGUCGGCCAUCGUACGGAUUGGUGCUCAUCUCGUUUAGUUCUCUCGGACCGGUAGCUGUAAAGUGCAUAUUGCGCCGUUUUGACAAGCUCAAGCUGCCUUUUUUGUAUUAUCGACAAUCUUGCUACGCUGCUCAUAUCAGAUGCCACGUGAUCGACGGCCACAUACCGAGGCCCGGCAAGCUUAACGUUCGCGCGUAACUGCUCGAUUGUGCCGCCGACGUUUCGACGACCGAGUUCACUCGCUGCAUAGCCCAGUAUAUGGGUAAAAGUCCACUCACCGGAAAAUUCCACCCAUUACGCCCAACGAAUCGUGCGAGGAACUCGAAUUUGAAAGGCCACUAGACAAAUUCAAAUCUAAACGGGCGAUUGUCGAUAUUAUUGAGCUGAGCGUAGGUCCUUGCAGCUAGAGAGAGAGAUAUCAAGCCGCCGCGGCACGAAUGCAUGCGAUCGCCAACGAGUCAACCCAACAGCACACGACGCGUCGAGACGCCGCACACGGAUAAGCGGGUUUGGGGAAGAA